UCUAUUGGUUGGUGAACCUAGAGGUUCACCCUAUGGAGUGAACCCAAGAAUAAGUCCUAAAAAAAUGGUAUGGAUCGUUUUGGAUCAUGCUAAGAAAAUAACUGAACACGCCUACUAAGCCCAAAAAAAAAACACAGAUAAGCGCUUAUUAAUGUGCUAGACCAAUAUAUAAAAAAAUUAAAUUAUACCAACUUAUUAAGUGUCAUUUAUAAUAACACCCCCUCAGAGGCGAAUAUUAUGGAGUAUAUCUCAAGUUGCCGUAAAGCUUUGAAUCAGUGGAGAAGGCUUAAUGAAUAAAUUCUGAGAACAUGUGAAGGAAGUUAAAGAAAAAGUUGAGACUUUGUAUUCAAAUGAUGAGACCAUAACUUAGGAGAUAACAAAGGAGUUGAAAUAACUAUCUGAGGCUGUUAAGACUGAAGAAGAAAUGUUCCGGAGACAGAAGAAUAUAUUUUUUUUGCUAUGGAAAAGGGAUAAAAACUAAGUUUUUCUACGCCGUAACAAAGCAAUGAAGAGCCAAAAAUCAAAUUACACGCUUACUAGAUGACUAGGAAAGCACGGUAGAUGAUAAGGAGGGUCUGGUAGCAACGGCUACCAGUUAUUACAGACAAAUCUUCGAAUCGUCUAAUCUGGAGGAAGUUGAUGAAGCUCUAGCCGAUGUAUCGACUACCAUCAUUGAAUCGAUAAAUGAAGAACUGACAGGACUCGUUACAGAAUGUAUGGUAAAGCUAACGCUUUUUGCAAUGCACUCGGAGGAAACUUUGAGACCUGAUGGGACGACAAUUUUUUUUAUCAAAAAUUCUUGAUAUAUUUAAAGAGGAUUUAACUUUUAUUGUUAAUCAGUUCCUUUUUGAUGGUACUAUGGUACAACGACUAAUGAUACAAAUAUUUGUCUCAUCCCGAAGAAGGACAAGCCUAAUGAGAUUACUCGAUUCAUGUCGAUCACCUUGUGUAAUGUCAGCUAUAAGAUAAUUUCAAAGAUCUUAUGUCAGAGAUUAAAAAAAGUCCUACCAUAUCGUAACUCUGAAACCUAGUAAGACUUUGUUGUUGGAAGACAUAUUACAUACAACAUAUUGAUUGCAUGAGAUGUUUCAUGCGCUAAGAACAAAUCCAGAUGGAAGGAACAAGAGGAUGGCAAUAAAUACAGAUAUGAGAAAAGCGUACGACCGGAUGGAAUAAGACUUUAUUAGAGCAGUAAUGCAAAAAAUGGGAUUCUCGUCCACAUGUAUGAAUUGAAUUAUACGGUGCAUAUCAUCGGUUAAGUACAAAGUCCUUAUGAAUGGCCAACCAAGAGGGAAUAAUGUUUCUGAAAGAAGAUUACGUCAAAGAAAUCAUUUGUCUCCUUUCAUAUUUAUUUUAUGCACGAAUUCGCCCAUUAGCCUUCUCAGUCAUGCAAAGAAUCAAGGAAAUACAACGGGGAUACGUGUUUCACGUGCUAGCCCUUCGGUAUCUCACUUUCUAUUUGUUGAUGAUAGUCUUUUCUUUUGUAAGGCGGAGCCCGUGAAUGUAAAAAAGUUAUGAAAGUAGUAAGACAAUAUGAGAAAACUUCAGGACAAUGCAUCAAUUCUGAAAAAUCUUCUCUACUCUUUGGUAAGAGAAUUCCUGUGAAUGUGAGGCAAACAAUACAAGAUACACUUAAGAUUCACAAUGAAGGAGGAAUGGGUUCCUACUUAGGGAUACCAGAAUAUAUUAGCGGAUCUAAAUGCAAGUUGUUUACAUAUCUAAAAGACAUAUUACGAAACAAAGUCAGUGGUUGGAUAGGCAGAUGGUUAUCAAGAGGAAAAAAAUCCUAAUUACAUCCAUUUUAUUAGUUUUUCCGACAUAUGUUAUGUCUAGUUUCUUAGUUCCUUUGGAGAUAUGUGAGAGUCUUGCAAGUGCCAUUUUACAAUUUUGGCGGGGUUCGAAUCCACCUAAAAGAGGAAUCCAUUAGACAAAAUGGGAGAAACUGUGUCUAUCGAGAGAAGGGGGUAGAAUUAGAUUCCGUAUGAUCCAUAAGUUCAGUCUUGCUUUUUUGGCAAAAUAGUUAUGGCGAUAGGUACAGUUUCUAAACUCUUCGUUAGUUCGGGUUCUGCAUGGUAAAUAUUUCAGACUUGGCUCGCCAUUGCGAGUAAUUUCUACGAAUAAUCCUUCUUAUAUAUGUACAAGUAUUCAACGGCAAGAAAAAUACUGUUGUUGGGGAUUCAGCAGAAGAUUAAUUAUGGAUAUGAAGUUAAAAUGUGGAACGAUUUUGGAUACCUACAAUACUAGCUAGACAACAGCCUAAUAUCUCGGUAGUUCAUCCGAGAUUGAUUGUCAGUGAUCUUACCAAUGGGGAUUUGAAGGAAGGGACUUUGAGAUACUUGAAAAUUUUGUUGUUCAAGAGGAUAUACCGCUAGUUCGUAGUUUGGCCAUAAGUCGAACCACUGACCAAAAUACGUUUUGUUGGAGGUACACAAAAAGUGGUCAAUUUAUUGUUAAGUCUGGAUAUUGAGUGGCAAGGCAUGUCUUAAAAAUUGAGAUAGAUGAAGUCUAUACGGAGCCUAGUAUCACCGCCCUACAAGAAUUUGCUUGAAAAAUAAAAGCUCCUCAAAAGAUGUGCCAUCUUAUUUUGCAGCUGAUUACCGGCCAUGUAGCGGUAAUGAGGAAUCUGACACGUCGCCAUAUGCGUUGUGAUACUAUUUCUCUAGAUCUGAGGACCCUGAUGAGUCAGUAACUCAUGACAUCUUUGAGUGUCCACCGGCCCUACAUGCAUAGGAAAUAUCAGCAACUCCAUCAAUGCCAUACAUCUUCUGAGUGUUUAUGCCAAUAUGAAUUAUCUUUUUUUUGGAGAAAAACAGUUUUGAGGACUCUGAGCUGGAUAUGGCCCUUACCCUUCGAUAAUUUGGUAUCUUUAAAAAGAUAGGAAUGAUAAACUAUUCAGGAGAUAGACAGUGAUCCCCAAGAUCUAACCAGACACGCAGAAGGAGAGUGUCAAGCUUGGUUCUCAACGAAUGUGAUUGUUCCUGCACAUCACAUCCAUUAAGUAACACUGACUCACAAGCCAUAUGCUUGGAGAACAUUUGUUUGGUUGAUGAAUCAUGGAAUCAAACCUCUCAAAUUACUGGCUGCGGUUAAGUUUGAAAAAACAUCUGGACAAAACCAACUAUUGGAGACAAGGAACCUUAUAUGCUGAAAUCAGCUUUGCAUUCAGAAUUAGAAACACUUAUUUAGGAGAUGGAGAAUAUCAACAUUCAACUUGCCAAAAAAAUUUAUAGACAUAUUGUAAAGACCUGAUCACAAUGAUUAAAAAAAUUCAUGCAUAGUCAAAGUUCUAAACUGAGCUGAAAGAUGUAAAGACUCUUCAAAAUUGAUUACACACAUUCAAGAUCAUAUGUUCCACGAAGACAAAUAUAUAAUCUCUGAUUUUCUGGUUGAAACUGCUCGAUCAUUCUAUAAAAAAUUAUAUUACGUUGGUUGUUUUAUUUCGUUUUUUUUAUCACCUUGAAUUUGAGUAAUAUAACAGAAAAAAUAAAAAAAUUACACCCCUAGAAAUUCAGUCAAACAUCGAAAUUGCCCAAUAAGUUUCCUAGACGGAUUUUUAUUUUCGUUGGUAAUCAUGUCGACAUCUGUUUUUAAAAGGACACAGUUUGAUUAUUUUCUAUAACUCAUGCUUUCUUUCUUUGAUCCAUAAAAAGCCGGAGAAGUGAUUGAAAUCAAAUCAGAUACGGGUGAAAAUGAAGAUUGAUCUGAACAAGGUGGCUCGUAAGAUCGAGGUCAAUAACCAUAUUUCUCUCGUAACUACUACCGCAUCGCCGAUAAUCUUCUCCGUCAGGCCAGCAUAUAUCGAGAAGAGAAGAAUGUUGUUGAUUUGUAUAUCAUGCUUCUUAGAUAUUCAAGUUUGAUUUCUGAAAACGUUCCUCUCCAUCAAGAUUACCAGGCAUCACUUUCACAAGCAAGACUUAGGAGUAGGAAGAGGUUGAGGUAUGUAAUCAAUGAGCUCGAGUCUCUUAAACCGGAAUUUGACCGGCAAGUGGAUGAGCUGAACCGAGAAGACGAUGAAUUGCAUCGGGUUGGAAGUGAUUUCCCUGUCGUAUCAUAUAGUUCAGAUUCUGUUGAAUGCCUCCUGUCCACAGAGAUCCAUGCUCUAGACCUGAUGUUAAGAAGACAACAUCUCAACCAUCCUCGACGUAUAACAAUAGUCUGACUUCAUCUUCAAAUCGUACACCGAUUGAUCAGCAAUUCCAGAAGUUAUCUUCUGAUUUUCUGCCUCCAAACCAAGCAACCUUGUCUAGACAUUCAUUUCUAGGUCCAAAUGGUCUUAAAAGUCAAUGGGUAGCACCAAGUCGGAUAAAAGUUCAGUAUCCGAGUAAAUACCGAUUGGGGUUCUACUGAAAAUUCAGGUUUGAUUGAUGCUGGAUCUGACAUUUCCUCAACAUCACUAUAUAGUGAUUCUCAAACGUUGAACUUUGUGCUCUCCUAAGAUGAUGGUCGAUGGCAGCGACAUUUUGAGGCGGUUACUUCCCAGUUUUUCAGUGACGCAACUGAAGACCCCUUUCAGUUUGUGGGUAUGAAGCAACCUACCCCACCUGUAACACCCCCGAACCGUCCUAGACAUAUGGUCGAUCAACCGGCCAACAAUCAAACAAGAACAUGACCGAUCGACUGUCCAACAUCCAGAAUUGGAGAUGAUUGAGCCAACCGGCCAGCCAACAAUCAAACAAGAACAUGACUGACCGUCCAACCCAACACCAUGGUCCGGAAGCGCUACGUGACGGGCUAGGGACGAUCCGGUCAAAGUCACAAAAUUUACUUCACGACUUAGCCAAUUCAUCCACUAACUCAUCCCGCUGUGUCAAGGCACAAGGCUUUGCAACCCGUACCUAGGGUUAGCGUUUUCCGUUAGAUCGAGACCUAAGACUUUUUAACCCGUACUACGACCUAACAUUGUGUUAGACCGGACUAGUCAAAUAUCAGAGUACUCAUGAAUCGCAUAUAAAACAAAUACUUUUAUUGAUUUAGGAAAUAUUCAUACAAUGAAUAAUUCAAGACUGGGCCCGGCCUAAUGCCAAAUCGAGUCAACAUAACACAAUUCACAAUGCCGUUUACAAAAAGCAUGAAAAUCUACACCGGCGGUCCUAAUGUCCAGCUCCAAGCUACCGAUCAUCCUUACAUAAAGCGACCUGCAAAAAGGACAACGAAGUUGGAUGAGUAAUCUAGUAUUACUCAGUAAGCUGGCGGCCACUACUCGCAACGUAGACUGUAACCCAGACAACCCAAAAUAACAAUCAAUCUAGCCCUAGCACAAUAAAAGCUAAGGCUAAGCAAACCGUUACAAAGUUAGACUUGGCCUCCUGCCAUGAUCUAGCUUCAAGUAACGAGAACAUGCAUUAAAACAAGUCAACAACCAAUCCCUAGUUAACCAUAUAUACGCCUGAGUUUUGUACUUUU